CCUACGGGAGGCAGCAGUGGGGAAUAUUGCGCAAUGGGCGAAAGCCGGACGCAGCGACGCCGCGUGAGGGAUGAAGGUCUUCGGAUCGUAAACCUCUGUCAGCAGGGAAGAACGGUCACUGUGCUAAUCAGCAGUGAAUUGACGGUCCCUGCAAAGGAAGCACCGGCUAACUCCGUGCCAGCAGCCGCGGUAAUACGGAGGGUGCGAGCGUUAAUCGGAAUUACUGGGCGUACACCGCUCGUAGGCGGUAUGUCAAGUCAAGGGUGAAAUCCCCGCGCUCAAGGUGGGAACUGCCUUUGAAACUGGCAAACUGGAAUGUGUGAGAGGAUAGUGGAAUUCCAGGUGUAGGAGUGAAAUCCGUAGAUAUCUGGAGGAACAUCAGUGGCGAAGGCGACUAUCUGGCACAUAACUGACGCUGAGGAGCGAAAGCGUGGGUAGCAAACAGGAUUAGAUACCCUUGUAGUC
rnacentral:rRNA from 1 species